CCAGAUUGCAUAUAUAGAUGGGUAGACCCGAUUCGACCUGGUUGUGUCUGAUACACCGCAAAUUGUGAAACCCUCCUGCGUCGAACUACACUCAUCGUUUUUUUUUUUCUGUUCGAGUUCGAGAUUUCACCUCUUGUUUCUGUAAUUUCCGGAAUUCAGAAUUAGGGUUCUGUAACUUGAUGCUGAAGUUCUAUUUCGUUCUUCUCACUCUUGAUUCACUUUUGAUUUUCCUGAUUUAGGGUUUAGGUAGGACUCCAUUGUUUUUUUUUUUCCUCCUGUUCAUUAUGUACUGUGAUCGAGUGGAAGCUGAUACUGGAAUCAUUGGGUCUCGAGAAAUAUUCCACCUCAUUUCAAGUGGAAGAGGUUGAUAUGGAUGCUCUGAUGCAUAUGACAGAUGAUGACCUCAAAGCUCUGCUCAUACCAAUGGGACCUAGGAAAAAGAUACUUCUUGCUUUGGGAUCUAAACGUGGAUAGUCCAGCUUCGAGCUUUAGGUGCAUGAUGAUACAUCUGGGAUGGUGUCAGAAAGAUGCUGCAUUUGACUUUUCUUUCUCAUCUGUAUCUCGAGAGAGAAAAAGUUGUUGAGAGUUUUUAGAUUAAACGGUUGUAACCUUUUAACAUAGAGAGUGAGACAAGAA